GGAGGAUUACCCAAGCCUGGCUGAAGGGAACGGUUUUGAAAACCGUCAGGCGUGUAAAAGCGUGCGUGGUUCGAAUCCCACAUCCUCCU
rnacentral:tRNA from 1 species